UACGUAGGGUGCGAGCGUUAAUCGGAAUUACUGGGCGUAAAGCGUGCGCAGGCGGUUCUGUAAGCCAGAUGUGAAAUCCCCGGGCUUAACCUGGGAAUGGCAUUUGGGACUGCAAGGCUUGAGUGCGGCAGAGGAGACUAGAAUUCCUGGUGUAGCAGUGAAAUGCGUAGAUAUCAGGAGGAAUACCGAUGGCGAAGGCAGGUCUCUGGGACGGUACUGACGCUGAGACGCGAAAGCGUGGGGAGCGAACAGG
rnacentral:rRNA from 1 species